rnacentral:rRNA from 1 species
UACAGAGGUCUCAAGCGUUGUUCGGAUUCAUUGGGCGUAAAGGGUGCGUAGGCGGCGCGGUAAGUCGGGUGUGAAAUCUCGGGGCUUAACUCCGAAACUGCAUUCGAUACUGCCGUGCUUGAGGACUGGAGAGGAGGCUGGAAUUUACGGUGUAGCGGUGAAAUGCGUAGAUAUCGUAAGGAAGACCAGUGGCGAAGGCAGGUCUCUGGACAGUUCCUGACGCUGAGGCACGAAGGUCAGGGGAGCAAACGGG